GAAUCGCCUGAGCUGACGAACGAAUAGGACUUGGACAGCGAAACCAAGCUACUCCAAACCCGAGAGACGCGUGCGAUCAGCGACUACGCGAACGACGAGCCGGUGAACGGGCGGUCAACGCAACAAUCACACAAGUGGUCUACUGUCCGGGCUGCUCUUCAACUCGGUGGAUGGCUCUCUCAGGCUCCCUCGGCACAUGGAUGGUGUCAUAUGUUGGUGGUGCGGGCUGUCCCCCUAUGUGAUGGAUGGCGUCCUCGGGCUCCUCCUGGCGUCCGGUACAGUGCGGGUGGACUCCAAGCUGGCUAUCCUGGGUAGGAGGGUGUUCAUAUCUGGCACGGAAGCGGGUGUAUGGCUGAUGGUUAUCCACUGGUAUUUCAUCCGAGAAACGGUGUGAGAAAUGGGAGUUCCUGUCUUGGGGGCGGUAUCAACUGGAUGUUCUUCUGAUGUUCCAUCCUCCAUUCUUUGGGCUGUCAACAGAUCCUCCACUAGAAUACAGCUCUCCUCCACUUGUGUUGAAGACAAGUCAUCCAGUAUAUGGGGAUGGAAAUCAGCGGAUGUGGUGCCAGAUGCAGAUGGUGGUAAGCGAUCAGGUGAGGCAACCUUGAGGUCUGACAGACUUGGAUUAGCUGAGUCGUUUUCUGCCAUGGCUUGCGAAAAAAUAAGGUGACGAAAAUGUGUGGUGAAGAGAAACGUGAAAGUGUUGAUGUGAUGUAGAGAAAUAAUUGAUAAGAAGACCCAAUCAAAAUCACUAUAGAUUCGUAAUGAAUGAAAUGCAGAAAAUGUGAUUCAACAAUGUGCUUAGUGAUGAAGUCAAUCAAGUUAGCAAUAUUGUUAACAUAAAACAGUGAAAUAACAAUCAGAAAUAAUGGAUAUCCAAUAAUGCAGGUAUGCUUAUUAUAAUUUAUUAUUCUUAUUAUUGUAAAUGUUUCAGUCUUAUAAGUUCCUGCCAUAAUUAUAUGUAGUGCUAGUAUUUCUCACAAAAUUUUUUUAAAAGCAGUGAUGCUCUGCUUGAGUUACUCCACAAUAUAUGUGUGAUAUAAUUUACUUCCCCCU